ACAUGCAGAGAACUUUCCAGAGAUGGAUUGGUGCCUUCGGGAACUCUGACACAGGUGCUGCAUGGCUGUCGUCAGCUCGUGUCGCGAGAUGUUGGGUUAAGUCCGUAACGAGCGCAACCCUUGUCCUUAGUUACCAGCACGUUAUGGUGGGCACUCUAAGGAGACUGCCGGUGACAAACCGGAGGAAGGUGGGGAUGACGUCAAGUCAUCAUGGCCCUUACGGCCUGGGCUACACACGUGCUACAAUGGUCGGUACAAAGGGUUGCCAAGCCGCGAGGUGGAGCCAAUCCCAUAAAACCGAUCGUAGUCCGGAUCGCAGUCUGCAACUCGACUGCGUGAAGUCGGAAUCGCUAGUAAUCGUGAAUCAGAAUGUCACGGUGAAUACGUUCCCGGGCCUU
rnacentral:rRNA from 1 species